rnacentral:rRNA from 1 species
AUUGAACGCUGGCGGCAUGCUUUACACAUGCAAGUCGAACGGCAGCGGGGUAGUGCUUGCACUACUGCCGGCGGGUGGCGAACGGGUGAGUAAUAUAUCGGAACGUACCGAGUAAUGGGGGAUAACCAAUCGAAAGAUUGGCUAAUACCGCAUACGUCCUGAGGGAGAAAGCGGGGGAUCGCAAGACCUCGCGUUAUUCGAGCGGCCGAUAACUGAUUAGCUAGUUGGUGGGGUAAAGGCCUACCAAGGCGACGAUCAGUAGCGGGUCUGAGAGGACGAUCCGCCACACUGGGACUGAGACACGGCCCAGACUCCUACGGGAGGCAGCAGUGGGGAAUUUUGGACAAAGGGGGCAACCCUGAUCCAGCCAUGCCGCGUGUAUGAAGAAGGCCUUCGGGUUGUAAAGUACUUUUGUUAGGGAAGAAAAGGGAAGUGCUAAUACCACUUUUUGCUGACGGUACCUAAAGAAUAAGCACCGGCUAACUACGUG